GCCCGGAUGGCGGAACUGGUAGACGCAAGGGACUUAAAAUCCCUCGGCCGCAAGGCUGUGCCGGUUCGAUUCCGGCUCCGGGCACCA
rnacentral:tRNA from 1 species